rnacentral:hammerhead_ribozyme from 1 species
CUCCGGCUGACGAGUCCUAAAUGGGACGAAACGCGCGUCCUGGAU